rnacentral:rRNA from 1 species
UGCAAGUCGAGCGGGGAUUGAUGAUGUCUUCGGACGGAUUCAAUUCUAGCGGCGGACGGGUGAGUAACGCGUGAGCAAUCUGUCCCAGACAGGGGGAUAACACUUGGAAACAGGUGCUAAUACCGCAUAAGACCACGACACCACAUGGUGAUGGGGUAAAAGAUUUAUUGGUCUGGGGUGAGCUCGCGUCCGAUUAGCUAGUUGGUGAGGUAACGGCCCACCAAGGCGACGAUCGGUAGCCGACCUGAGAGGGUGAUCGGCCACAUUGGAACUGAGACACGGUCCAAACUCCUACGGGAGGCAGCAGUGGGGAAUAUUGGGCAAUGGGCGCAAGCCUGACCCAGCAACGCCGCGUGAGGGAAGAAGGUUUUCGGAUUGUAAACCUCUGUCCUCAAGGAMGAAGGAAGUGACGGUACUUGAGGAGGAAGCCCCGGCUAACUACGUGCCAGCAGCCGCGGUAAUACGUAGGGGGCGAGCGUUGUCCGGAAUGACUGGGCGUAAAGGGCGUGUAGGCGGCCGAUUAAGUCUGGAGUGAAAGUCCUGCUUUCAAGGUGGGAAUUGCUUUGGAGACUGGUUGGCUUGAGUGCGGAAGAGGUAAGUGGAAUUCCCAGUGUAGCGGUGAAAUGCGUAGAGAUUGGGAGGAACACCAGUGGCGAAGGCGACUUACUGGGCCGUAACUGACGCUGAGGCGCGAAAGCGUGGGGAGCGAACAGGAUUAGAUACCCUGGUAGUCCACGCUGUAAACGAGGCCCUAGGUGU